CUCAGUCUCAGGUGAAGGGUUCAGCAGUGGGUCGGAUGAUCAAGAUGGAAUACAAUAUUUUAGUAGGUACCUGUGAGUGAAACCAGUCACUUAGUGACUCCUUGAAUUCUGCAGCGCAAGUGCAAAGUCAGUGUUUUGAAGAAACAAUAAUCCCAAAUCAAGAAAAAAAGAGAAGUGGCUGAGUAUGCCAAGUUUUUGGCAAAGGAGACCAAGGGAAGACUCUAAGGACAGAUUUUCAAGGAAAGGAAGAGAGUAGUACAUGUGUUUGAGACACUAGGGAAAAGUUAUAGAAGACUUGUGGUUACCAGGCAAGAUGAACAUCAGGAGGCAGGAUUUAAGGAGG